CCGUUGGUGAACCAGCGGAGGGAUCAUUACCGAGUGCAAACUCAUAACCCUUUGUGAACCUAUAUCUGUUGCUUCGGCGGCUCGCUCUCGGGCGAGCCCGCCGGUAAUAUCAGUAUCUCUGUUUGAACCCGACGAUACUUCUGAGUGUUCUUAGCGAACAGUUAAAACUUUUAACAACGGAUCUCUUGGCUCUA
rnacentral:misc_RNA from 1 species